rnacentral:rRNA from 1 species
CAAAUAACUUAACGAAUCGCAUCGGCUUGCGCCGGCGAUGGUUCAUUCAAAUUUCUGCCCUAUCAACUUUCGAAGUGAGGGUAGUGGCCUCACUUGGUGGUCUACGGGUAACGGGGAAUUAGGGUUCUAUUCCGGAGAGGGAGCCUGAGAAACGGCUACCACAUCCAAGGAAGGCAGCAGGCGCGCAAAUUACCCAAUCCUAAUUCAGGGAGGUAGUGACAAUAAAUACUGAUGAUGAGCUCCUUUGGGUUUAUCAAUUGGAAUGAGUACAAUUUAAAUACCUUAACGAGGAACAAUUGGAGGGCAAGUCUGGUGCCAGCAGCCGCGGUAAUUCCAGCUCCAAUAGCGUAUAUUAAAGUUGUUGCAGUUAAAAAGCUCGUAGUUGAAACUUGGGUCUGGCUGACCGGUCCGCCUAACCGCGUGAACUGGCUCGGCCGGGCCUUUCCUUCUGGCUAGCCUUAUGCCCUUCAUUGGGUGUGCAGGUGAACCAGGACUUUUACUUUGAAAAAAUUAGAGUGUUCAAAGCAGGCCUAUGCUCGAAUACAUUAGCAUGGAAUAAUAGAAUAGGACGUGCGGUUCUAUUGUGAGGUUUCUAGGACCGCCGUAAUGAUUAAAAAGGAACAGUCGGGGAGAUCUGUAUUUUCAAAGUCAGAGGUGAAAUUCUUGGAUUUUGAAAAGACAAACUACUGCGAAAGCAUUUCUCAAAGGAUGUUUCAUUAAUCAGUGAACGAAAGUAGGGGAUCGA